rnacentral:lncRNA from 10 species
UUCUAAUACAUGUGGCUGAUCAACAGGACAUGGUUGAAUACUUGAUGGUGGUUGCUAUUUCAGGCCCAGACAUAAUCAAAUCCAUGUGAAGAAAAGAGAUUUCUUCCUGCGUGGCCCUUUGUAAGAGAAAGAAAAUGUUCCUACAAGUCUUCCAGAGGAGUUCUUAAUGGCAGCAGUGAGGAUGCCAGAGUUCAUGGGUUUCUAGAAGACAAGUUUUCAACUGCAGAUACAAACAUCAGGACGUCAAUGUAUCUGCUAGGAGACACCCGGACAGUGUUGAGAACACAGAACCUGGAGGCUAAACCCCCAGCUUUCUAUGCCAGCUGAGAGUCUGUGGGCACAUUACUCAGCGUCUCUGAACCUCAUGCUCCUCCCCUGUGACAUGUAGAUUGCUAAACCCAUCUCACAGGGCUAUCUUCUGCAUUUAAAGAAUAAAAUAACACAUGAGGGGUCUAUCAAUGUUUCUGACCUAUUUAUUUAUUGUUAAUCCUUUCUCUACACCGAAUACUCUAACUAACCUUUUGGAUUCUCACUUAAUGAGAAAAAGCAAAAUUAACUUGAGCAGCUUUGCUAUGAACAUUUGCAAGUAGUUUCAGGUGGGAAUUUGCCUUCAUGGAGAAGAGUGAGUGGAUCUACAUGGCACAAACUAUUUCUUGACAACUCAAAAGUCAUUCCCAAUCUCCUUUCCCCUCAGGACCUCUUGCUCAGAGGCCAGAGCACCAAACGCUUGCUUGUACGGACCAUGCAAGUCACUUCCGCCCCAUCCAUUCUCUCAUGCUUCUAUGCAUUACUCAACAGAGAGUAUGAGGACAUUUAGUAUGUGCCAGGCACUAUUUUGGUCACAGAGGAGACAGACAGAAAGGAGAAAUAGGUACAGUCAUGCUCCACAUGAAGAUGUUUUGGACAAUGACAGAUGGCAUAUACAAUGGUGAUCCCAUAAGAUUAGAAGCCCAUAUUUUUACUGUACUUUUUCUAUGUUAGAAUAUGUUUAGAUACAGAAACACUUACCAUUGUGUUAAAAUUGCCUAU